AAGUUUUACCAAGUCGCGGAAAGCUUAUUUACUACCUCGCCAGAAGAAGUUUUACCAACUCGCCAGAAGAAGCCUCACCAAGUCGUUAGAAGAAGCCUUACCAAGUCGUCAGAAGAAGCUUUACCCGUAGACGAAAUGGGGAUUUCGAGCAUUACCAUUGUGUGCUGUUUGAUUUUGCAAGCGUUCAGUAGAUGUGAAGCUCUAGAAACAGAACCAUCACCUAUUGGAACUCAAAUAGCUGAAAAAGCCAGAUCAUUUAUUGGACAUACAAAAUGGGGUAGACCUUCAAACUACUCAACAGGCCCUAAUACAGACAAAAGUCAUAUCUUCGUCGCUGACGUCAUAAAGGAUGCUGGAGGUUCUGUGCCGACAUGGUAUUUUUAUGGAGGAGUUAUUGGAGUUGGUGAAUGGGGAAGUCGAUGGUCUUUUUAUUUAGGGUUUUCUCCUUCUUGGAUAAAUGUUUACAGUCCCCUAAUUGGUGACGUAAUUGGUGAUGGCGUAAGUGUUGGAAUAAUGACAGGACCGAAUAAAACUACCCAUGCUGCUAGGCGUAGGAUUGUCGAAAACGACUGGGGAUUUCGAUCUAACCAAACCCUGGCCUAUUGGAGAUAUGUUCAUUAUUGGUAAUUUUGACGCCGCUUUUAUACUUCUCAAAACAGAGACGUGUUAGAGGGUCAAGUGGACAUUCUUAAUAUGAGUCGUAGACCCGAUUGUUUUUAUAUUUUUUAUUAUGUAUUGCAUGAAAUAUCCUAAAUUGAAAUGGCUUCUUUUUAUUUUAUAUUAUGAUUUGGAAAUAUAAAGUUGUUUUCAAUAAUGUGGUUUCUACCAUUGUGUCUUAUGAUAAAAUAUCAUGUAUUGCAUGAAAUAUCCUAAAUUAAAAUUUAUUAUUAUUUUUAUUAUUAUUAUUUAAUACAUUUAUAUAGCGCAUCUUUCACCAAAGUGUUCAGAUGCGCUUAACAAUAACAAAGUAAAAUACAAUUUAUAAUAAAAAGAAGUUUCUAAAAAUUCAAUUUAUAAUAAAAUAGAAGUUCCUAAAAAAAAAAACAGUUCCUAAAAGUAAGAAGAGAGAGACAAUGUAAAAAUGACAUAAAUUUUUUAAAACUACCCAUUUUUAAUUUAUAUUAUGUUUGCUUUAUAUUGUAUAAGAAUUCGGAAAUAUAAAGUUGUUUUCAAUAA